AAAUUAAUGAAAUUAAAAGCAUUUAAAUAUAUAUUAAAAUCCUUAACCCCUAAUUUAGGAUUAAGAAAAAUAAGUAUUCAGACAUUAAUAAAUAUAAAAAAAUUAAGAGAUUAACCUCCAUUUCCAUUCCAAUCCAUUCUCCUAUGUCAAGUCACUAUGUGUAAAGUAUCCUAGGCUUGCUUGCUUGCUUGCAAUAAAGAAAUUGAAGCUUGCGCUUAAG
rnacentral:misc_RNA from 1 species